UUAUGAAUAAAUGAAUUUAAUUAAAAUUAUAAUAAUUUGAUAUUAAUGAAAGACUAAUUUAAUGAACAAAUAUAUAUAUUAAAAAAAUAAAUAAAAAAUACAAAUUAAAAAAUAAUUAAAUCUAAAAUAAAUAUUUUAAGAUAAAUAAAUUCAAGAUUUUUAAAAUUUAUCUAAAAUCAUAUAAAUUUUAUCAUUUUAAAGAUUUAUAUUAUUUAUGAAUUUAUUUAUUUAAUUUAUAAA
rnacentral:tRNA from 1 species